rnacentral:rRNA from 1 species
UCCGCAUGGAUAUGUUGUUAAAGGUUUACCGCCUUGGGAUAGGCUUGCGUCUGAUUAGCUAGUUGGUGUGGUAAUGGCACACCAAGGCUACGAUCAGUAACUGGUCUGAGAGGAUGAUCAGUCACACUGGAACUGAGACACGGUCCAGACUCCUACGGGAGGCAGCAGUGAGGAAUAUUGGGCAAUGCACGAAAGUGUGACCCAGCAACGCCGCGUGGAGGAUGAAGGUAUUCUAUAUCGUAAACUCCUGUGAGAGCAGACGAAAGACAGAUUAUUAAUUUGGAUGACUGUAUGCUCAGAGGAAGCCCCGGCUAACUACGUG